rnacentral:rRNA from 1 species
CAGUAGCCGCGGUAAUACGGAGGGAGCUAGCGUUGUUCGGAAUUACUGGGCGUAAAGCGCACGUAGGCGGUUAUUCAAGUCAGAGGUGAAAGCCCGGGGCUCAACCCCGGAACUGCCUUUGAAACUAGAUGACUGGAAUCUUGGAGAGGUCAGUGGAAUUCCGAGUGUAGAGGUGAAAUUCGUAGAUAUUCGGAAGAACACCAGUGGCGAAGGCGACUGACUGGACAAGUAUUGACGCUGAGGUGCGAAAGCGUGGGGAGCAAACAGGAUUAGAUACCCCGGUAGUCCCUGUCUCUUAUAC